rnacentral:rRNA from 1 species
UCUGGAAACUNUCUGACUUGAGUGCAGAAGGGGAGAGUGGANUUCCAUGUGUAGCGGUGAAAUGCGUAGAUAUAUGGAGGAACACCAGUGGCGAAAGCGGCUCUCUGGUCUGUCACUGACGCUGAGGCUCGAAAGCGUGGGUAGCGAACAGGAUUAGAUACCCUGGUAGUCCACGCCGUAAACGAUGAGUGCUAGGUGUUAGGCCCUUUCCGGGGCUUAGUGCCGGAGCUAACGCAAUAAGCACUCCGCCUGGGGAGUACGACCGCAAGGUUGAAACUCAAAGGAAUUGACGGGGGCCCGCACAAGCGGUGGAGCAUGUGGUUUAAUUCGAAGCAACGCGAAGAACCUUACCAGGUCUUGACAUCCCGAUGCUAUUCUUAGAGAUAGGAAGUUACUUCGGUACAUCGGAGACAGGUGGUGCAUGGUUGUCGUCAGCUCGUGUCGUGAGAUGUUGGGUUAAGUCCCGCAACGAGCGCAACCCUUAUUGUUAGUUGCCAUCAUUAAGUUGGGCACUCUAGCGAGACUGCCGGUAAUAAACCGGAGGAAGGUGGGGAUGACGUCAAAUCAUCAUGCCCCUUAUGACCUGGGCUACACACGUGCUACAAUGGUCGGUACAACGAGUUGCGAGCCGGUGACGGCAAGCUAAUCUCUGAAAGCCGAUCUCAGUUCGGAUUGGAGGCUGCAACUCGCCUCCAUGAAGUCGGAAUCGCUAGUAAUCGCGGAUCAGCACGCCGCGGUGAAUACGUUCCCGGGCCUUGUACACACCGCCCGUCACACCACGAGAGUUUGUAACACCCGAAGUCGGUGAGGUANCCUUUUAGGGGCCA